GACAGCAGCAGCCGCGGGAAUACGUAGGGUGCGAGCGUUAAUCGGAAUUACUGGGCGUAAAGCGUGCGCAGGCGGUUGUGUAAGACAGGUGUGAAAUCCCCGGGCUUAACCUGGGAACUGCGCUCGUGACUGCACAGCUAGAGUAUGGCAGAGGGGGGUGGAAUUCCACGUGUAGCAGUGAAAUGCGUAGAGAUGUGGAGGAACACCGAUGGCGAAGGCAGCCCCCUGGGCCAAUACUGACGCUCAUGCACGAAAGCGUGGGGAGCAAACAGGAUUAGAUACCCGUGUAGUCCCUGUCUCUUAUAA
rnacentral:rRNA from 1 species